rnacentral:rRNA from 1 species
UGACGAGUGGCGGACGGGUGAGUAAUGUCUGGGAAACUGCCUGAUGGAGGGGGACAACUACUGGAAACGGUGGCUAAUACCGCAUAACGUCGCAAGACCAAAGAGGGGGACCUUCGGGCCUCUUGCCAUCAGAUGUGCCCAGAUGGGAUUAGCUUGUUGGUGAGGUAACGGCUCACCAAGGCGACGAUCCCUAGCUGGUCUGAGAGGAUGACCAGCCACACUGGAACUGAGACACGGUCCAGACUCCUACGGGAGGCAGCAGUGGGGAAUAUUGCACAAUGGGCGCAAGCCUGAUGCAGCCAUGCCGCGUGUAUGAAGAAGGCCUUCGGGUUGUAAAGUACUUUCAGCGGGGAGGAAGGUGUUGUGGUUAAUAACCGCAGCAAUUGACGUUACCCGCAGAAGAAGCACCGGCUAACUCCGUGCCAGCAGCCGCGGUAAUACGGAGGGUGCAAGCGUUAAUCGGAAUUACUGGGCGUAAAGCGCACGCAGGCGGUCUGUCAAGUCGGAUGUGAAAUCCCCGGGCUCAACCUGGGAACUGCAUUCGAAACUGGCAGGCUUGAGUCUUGUAGAGGGGGGUAGAAUUCCAGGUGUAGCGGUGAAAUGCGUAGAGAUCUGGAGGAAUACCGGUGGC